rnacentral:rRNA from 1 species
AUACGGGGGGGGCAAGCGUUGUUCGGAAUUACUGGGCGUAAAGGGCGCGCAGGCGGGCGGGAAAGUCUCUCGUGAAAGCCCACGGCUCAACCGUGGAAUUGCGGGGGAUACUACUCGUCUUGAGUCCGGGAGAGGAGUGUGGAAUUCCCAGUGUAGCGGUGAAAUGCGUAGAUAUUGGGAGGAACACCGGUGGCGAAGGCGGCACUCUGGACCGGUACUGACGCUGAGGCGCGAAAGCUAGGGGAGCAAACGGGAUUAGAUACCCCGGUAGUCC